rnacentral:rRNA from 1 species
CCCAGACUCCUACGGGAGGCAGCAGUGGGGAAUAUUGCACAAUGGGCGAAAGCCUGAUGCAGCAACGCCGCGUGAAGGAAGAGGGGUUUCGGCUCGUAAACUUCUAUCAACAGGGACGAAAGAAAUGACGGUACCUGAAUAAGAAGCCCCGGCUAACUACGUGCCAGCAGCCGCGGUAAUACGUAGGGGGCAAGCGUUAUCCGGAUUCACUGGGUGUAAAGGGAGCGUAGACGGCAGUGCAAGUCCGGAGUGAAAGCCCGGGGCUCAACCCUGGGACUGCUCUGGAAACUGUAAAGCUGGAGUGCGGGAGGGGCAGGCGGAAUUCCUGGUGUAGCGGUGAAAUGCGUAGAUAUCAGGAGGAACACCGGCGGCGAAGGCGGCUUACUGGACUGUAACUGACGUUGAGGCUCGAAAGCGUGGGGAGCAAACAGGAUUAGAUACCCCAGUAC